rnacentral:ncRNA from 2 species
AUCCCCACUGCCGUCCUUGGUUCUUCCACCGGGUGGUGGAGGCUUGAGGGAAUCCGGUGCGACUCCGGGACUGCCCCGCAGCGGUGAACGGGAACGAAAGCUGUCAGAAGGCACUGGCCCUCCGGCGAGGGCUGGGAAGCGACGGCCGGUAGGACGGGGGGACUCUGUCGAGAGCCGCCCAUGCCCGUGAGUCCGAAGACCUGCCAGGGACCCGUGCCAGUG